rnacentral:rRNA from 1 species
GGGAAACCGAGUCUUAAUUGGGCGUUAAGUUGCAGGGUAUAGACCCGAAACCCGGUGAUCUAGCCAUGGGCAGGUUGAAGGUUGGGUAACACUAACUGGAGGACCGAACCGACUAAUGUUGAAAAAUUAGCGGAUGACCUGUGGCUGGGGGUGAAAGGCCAAUCAAACCGGGAGAUAGCUGGUUCUCCCCGAAAGCUAUUUAGGUAGCGCCUCGUGAAUUCAUCUCCGGGGGUAGAGCACUGUUUCGGCUAGGGGGCCAUCCCGGCUUACCAACCCGAUGCAAACUGCGAAUACCGGAGAAUGUUAUCACGGGAGACACACGGCGGGUGCUAACGUCCGUCGUGAAGAGGGAAACAACCCAGACCGCCAGCUAAGGUCCCAAAGUCAUGGUUAAGUGGGAAACGAUGUGGGAAGGCCCAGACAGCCAGGAUGUUGGCUUAGAAGCAGCCAUCAUUUAAAGAAAGCGUAAUAGCUCACUGGUCGAGUCGGCCUGCGCGGAAGAUGUAACGGGGCUAAACCAUGCACCGAAGCUGCGGCAGCGAACGUAUCACUUAAAGCGAUUCAGCGGGUUACGAUUGACGGAGCGAAGCGACGUCAAAGCG